rnacentral:rRNA from 1 species
UGGGGAAUAUUGCACAAUGGGCGAAAGCCUGAUGCAGCGAUGCCGCGUGGGGGAAGAAGGUUUUCGGAUUGUAAACCCCUGUCGGUAGGGACGAAGAUGACGGUACCUACCAAGGAAGCUCCGGCUAACUACGUGCCAGCAGCCGCGGUAAUACGUAGGGAGCGAGCGUUGUCCGGAAUUACUGGGUGUAAAGGGAGUGUAGGCGGGACUGCAAGUCAGACGUGAAAUCUAUGGGCUUAACCUGUAAAUUGCGUUUGAAACUGCGGUUCUUGAGUGAAGUAGAGGUUGGCGGAAUUCCCGGUGUAGCGGUGAAAUGCGUAGAUAUCGGGAGGAACAUCAGUGGCGAAGGCGGCCAACUGGGCUUUUACUGACGCUGAGGCUCGAAAGCGUGGGGAGCAAACA